UGAGGAAUAUUGGUCAAUGGGCGAGAGCCUGAACCAGCCAAGUCGCGUGAAGGAUGACUGUCUUAUGGAUUGUAAACUUCUUUUAUACGGGAAUAACAAGAGUCACGUGUGACUCCCUGCAUGUACCGUAUGAAUAAGCAUCGGCUAACUCCGUGCCAGCAGCCGCGGUAAUACGGAGGAUACGAGCGUUAUCCGGAAUUAUUGGGUUUAAAGGGUGCGUAGGUGGCGUAUUAAGUCAGUGGUGAAAAGCUGCAGCUCAACUGUAGUCUUGCCGUUGAAACUGAUAUGCUAGAGAGGAGACGAGGUAUGCGGAAUGUGUGGUGUAGCGGUGAAAUGCAUAGAUAUCACACAGAACGCCGAUUGCGAAGGCAGCGUACCAGGCUCCGUCUGACACUGAAGCACGAAAGCGUGGGGAUCAAACAGGAUUAGAUACCCUGGUAGUCCACGCAGUAAACGAUGAAUACUAGAUUUUUGCGAUAUACUGUAAGAGUCUAAGCGAAAGCGAUAAGUAUUCCACCUGGGGAGUACGCCGGCAACGGUG
rnacentral:rRNA from 1 species